rnacentral:rRNA from 1 species
GAGUGAAGCGGCAAAAGCUCAAAUUUGAAAUCUGGUACCUUUGGUGCCCGAGUUGUAAUUUGGAGAGUACCACUUUGGGACUGUACUUUGCCUAUGUUCCUUGGAACAGGACGUCAUGGAGGGUGAGAAUCCCGUGUGGCGAGGGUGUCAGUUCUUUGUAAAGGGUGCUCGAAGAGUCGAGUUGUUUGGGAAUGCAGCUCUAAGUGGGUGGUAAAUUCCAUCUAAAGCUAAAUACAGGCGAGAGACCGAUAGCGAACAAGUACAGUGAUGGAAAGAUGAAAAGAACUUUGAAAAGAGAGUGAAAAAGUACGUGAAAUUGUUGAAAGGGAAGGGCAUUUGAUCAGACAUGGUGUUUUGCGCCCCUUGCCUCUCGUGGGCUUGGGACUCUCGCAGCUCACUGGGCCAGCAUCGGUUUUGGCGGCCGGAAAAAACCUAGGGAAUGUGGCUCUGCGCCUCGGUGUAGAGUGUUAUAGCCCUGGGGAAUACGGCCAGCCGGGACCGAGGACUGCGAUACUUGUUAUCUAGGAUGCUGGCAUAAUGGUUAUAUGCCGCCCGUCUUGA